ensembl:lncRNA
GAACUCAAUGAGCUCAGACGUCAAGCUGGCAGUCUGACAAGGCCAAACCUAAUUCUCCUUCGGCCUUACAAUAAGACCCCAGGCAUUUAGACACAGGCAACUCAAGAUAUCACAUCUUUAUCCUGCACUUAAAUGCUCCAUGCCUUUCAUAAAGAAAACCUUAUAAUACUCAAGGACAUAUAUUACAAGGACAAUGAAAACAGAUUGAGCUAAGCUAUUGAGCUGUGGAUACAAAGUAAGCACAGGUGAGGGAGGAAGAGAGAGAGAGAUAGAGGGGGGGAGAGUGAGAGUGUGAUAUGGCCUUAACCUAGGACAGUGUGUAUUCCAGAAAACAGCCUGAUCAAAUAGCGAACUGGGCCAAGGCAAACACCUCUGGACUUCAGCCUGUUGGAUGAGGGGAGCUGAACGGUUGGUCUGCCCUGUUCACACAGAACACAAUCUACGCUGAACACACACACAAACAGACACACACAGGCCCAGUCUAAACCUGCAGGACACAAAUACUAGAGAGAGAGAGAGAGAGAGAGAGAGAGAGAGAGAGAGAGAGAGAGAGAGAGAGAGAGAGAGAGAGAGAGAGAGAGGAGACACAGAAAUAGACAGAUAAAUGACCAGAAAGAGGUAGAAGCUGACUACAUAACACCCACUGCAGCCAAUGCAUAACAGGAAGGUCUUUGUUGUGAUUGUUGUCUCAAAUAGCCUCUUGUUGUUUGUCUGUUUAUCAUGCUGAGUUUGUCAUUGCUCCAAGUAUUGUGUCCAUACUAACAUAAACACAAAAGGUCACCGCAGCAACAAUACACGCAUACCAUUACAAUCAAUCCAAAUCUAAUAAAAGACAAACACAACUGUUGUGAAUGUGUGCAUGUACGCAGACAAAUCCAUGGGCACACACACACACACACACACACACACACAAACAAGGUUACACACACACACACACACACACACACACACACACACACACACACACACACCUCCACUCAAUUAAUUAUAUUAAAUGCAAUGCUCAGAUCGAGGCCUCCAAAAAUAGAGGAAUGGAAAAAUCUAUAGUGGGACAUUGGAUUAUCUCUACAUCGCUGCACUGUGGUUCAACGCCCCCAGUAGACCAGCACUAGUCCCUAACCCCAUGUCAUUCACCUGCGGGGAGACAUUUCCCACACACAGACUUUACAUUCAGAACCAGGGCAAAGCACCUCUGGGGCGGAAGGGCUAUCAGUAGAAGCCACAUGAUUCAAAAACUAUUUUUUUUUUUAUUAUUGGAUUAUUCAUAUGUUAUUAUUUUUAACUGUCAACCAAUGUAAUAUUAGGGAUGAUUAUUGGCAUAAUCUGAUAGCAUCAAACACAUCAAGAAUCAAGGAUAAUGAUACAACAUAUUGCAAUAUAAUUAUUUCAUAAUGUGUAUUUCAAUAUCUUCGGGGUUUCAUUGAUUUUAAAAAGUUUUUUAUAAAUGCUGAAGGUAGAUUAACACCAAUUUUUGUUGAUGGACGUCCGCAUGAUUCUUCUGCUGUUUUAAUGACCGAGAGACUUACUCACAAUGAUAUUACUCACAUCAUAGGGCCAAUCAAUACAAUACACACAACAACGAGGUGGCCUGAAUCACAUGCCACAAUACAUGGGUAAACUCUUUUUUCAACCCAACCCUAAAUAGUAUUGCUUAUGAAAACAGAAUUGUCUUUGCUGCAUGUCUGCUUGUCUGUGAAGGCGGACAUUUUGGAAUUGAAGCUGGUUUUACCGUAGUGCAAAGCACCCAGCCUAGCAGAGAGGAGGGACAAUGCAAUGGAAACUCUGGCAAAACUCGACUCAUCUUCCCUAUGUGUGUGUGUGUGUGUGUGUGUGUGUGUGUGUGUGUGUGUGUGUGUGUGUGUGUGUGUGUGUGUGUGUGUGUGUGUGUGUGUGUGUGUGUGUGUGUGUCUGUUUCCCGUUGCUCUGGUAAGCCAAUGGUGUCCAAGCACCAACCCUUGUACACAAACGAAUGGAUGGGAAACUUUUUCUCAAUUUAGCAUGUGUCCGCAGCAAUUGCAGCCACACUAAUACCGGCAAAAGCUAAAAAUAGGCGCAUAUGAUGGCAUUGGAGUUUGUUGGUUUCAUGGGUGGUGGUGGAAACACCCAAGGGUGUCAUUUCUGAUGCAAACCCAUUGGAGUUCCUUGACAUACUUUAAGCCUUCUGAAGUCACCUCGAAUACCAUCACGAUUAGUCAUAUGCGGUUAUGAAGUUUCAAUCAACUCACAAUUCCACGUACCUGCAACAAUAUUGGAAUUGAAAGAAAACCACACACACACACACACACACACACACACACACACACACACACAAAAGUAAAGGUUUAAGACAGGAAGAACAGGAAGGAGGGCAUAGAAAGAGAGGGAGGAGAAGAGAGAGACAAAGAGACAGAGAGAGACAGAGAGCGAGGUAGAUAUAUAGACAGAGACAAUUUACCAAUCGCACACUAACAGACCAGUCAAGUCCACUUGUCAAAUGGAAUAUAAACAGCAGUACAAAAAA